GGCCGCAGCAGUGGACGUCCAUGGACGAUCUUCGGCCGACUUUUAAUCCGUAGGUUCAGGGUUCGAGUCCCUGGCGGCCCACCA
rnacentral:tRNA from 1 species